GAUGAACGCUGGCGGCGUGCCUAAUACAUGCAAGUCGAGCGAACAGAUGAGGAGCUUGCUCCUCUGACGUUAGCGGCGGACGGGUGAGUAACACGUGGAUAACCUACCUAUAAGACUGGGAUAACUUCGGGAAACCGGAGCUAAUACCGGAUAAUAUAUUGAACCGCAUGGUUCAUAGUGAAAAAAGGGUUUGCUGUUAACUUUAGGAUGAUCCGCGCCGCAUUAGCCAGUUGGUAAGGUAACGGCUUACCAAGGCAACGAUGCGUAGCCGACCUGAGAGGGUGAUCGGCCACACUGGAACUGAGACACGGUCCAGACUCCUACGGGAGGCAGCAGUAGGGAAUCUUCCGCAAUGGGCGAAAGCCUGACGGAGCAACGCCGCGUGAGUGAUGAAGGUCUUCGGAUCGUAAAACUCUGUUAUUAGGGAAGAACAAAUGUGUAAGUAACUAUGCACGUCUUGACGGUACCUAAUCAGAAAGCCACGGCUAACUACGUG
rnacentral:rRNA from 1 species